GCAUGGUUGGUCCAGUGGUAGAAUUGCCGCCUGCCAUAUUUCAACAAGAAGUUGGAAGCAGCGCGCGGCAGACCCGGGUUCGAUUCCCGGACCAUGCA